rnacentral:rRNA from 1 species
CAGCCGCCACGUUAAUACGAGGGGGGCAAGCGUUGUUCGGAAUUAUUGGGCGUAAAGGGUGCGUAGGCGGUUUGACAAGUCUUAUGUGAAAUCUCUGGGCUCAACCCAGAGUCUGCAUGGGAAACUGUCGGGCUUGAGUAUGGGAGAGGUGAGUGGAAUUUCCGGUGUAGCGGUGAAAUGCGUAGAUAUCGGAAGGAACACCUGUGGCGAAAGCGGCUCACUGGACCAUAACUGACGCUGAUGCACGAAAGCUAGGGGAGCAAACAGGAUUAGAUACCCCCGUAGUCCCUGUCUCUUAUAC